UGGCGUUUGACGUGCAUGUGAAGUAGAGGGUCUGCACAUCCAGGCCUCCAUGAAGGUUUAUAUCAGAUUAUUAGAGAUUUGAUCUCUAGUUUUACUACUAAUCAGGUAAGAAUUUGAUCCUUAAUCAUGUAGAUAAAUAAAAAAAAUUUUAGAUGCAACCUAGGCCUUUCGAGAAAAAAUAGUUUUUUUUCUUUAGUAUAUAAGAUGCUUCGCUCAAAUC
rnacentral:lncRNA from 1 species